rnacentral:rRNA from 1 species
CACAGAGAGCUUGCUCUCGGGUGACGAGCGGCGGACGGGUGAGUAAUGUCUGGGAAACUGCCUGAUGGAGGGGGAUAACUACUGGAAACGGUAGCUAAUACCGCAUAAUGUCGCAAGACCAAAGUGGGGGACCUUCGGGCCUCAUGCCAUCAGAUGUGCCCAGAUGGGAUUAGCUAGUAGGUGGGGUAACGGCUCACCUAGGCGACGAUCCCUAGCUGGUCUGAGAGGAUGACCAGCCACACUGGAACUGAGACACGGUCCAGACUCCUACGGGAGGCAGCAGUGGGGAAUAUUGCACAAUGGGCGCAAGCCUGAUGCAGCCAUGCCGCGUGUGUGAAGAAGGCCUUCGGGUUGUAAAGCACUUUCAGCGGGGAGGAAGGCGAUAAGGUUAAUAACCUUGUCGAUUGACGUUACCCGCAGAAGAAGCACCGGCUAACUCCGUGCCAGCAGCCGCGGUAAUACGGAGGGUGCAAGCGUUAAUCGGAAUUACUGGGCGUAAAGCGCACGCAGGCGGUCUGUCAAGUCGGAUGUGAAAUCCCCGGGCUCAACCUGGGAACUGCAUUCGAAACUGGCAGGCUAGAGUCUUGUAGAGGGGGGUAGAAUUCCAGGUGUAGCGGUGAAAUGCGUAGAGAUCUGGAGGAAUACCGGUGGCGAAGGCGGCCCCCUGGACAAAGACUGACGCUCAGGUGCGAAAGCGUGGGGAGCAAACAGGAUUAGAUACCCUGGUAGUCCACGCCGUAAACGAUGUCGAUUUGGAGGUUGUGCCCUUGAGGCGUGGCUUCCGGAGCUAACGCGUUAAAUCGACCGCCUGGGGAGUACGGCCGCAAGGUUAAAACUCAAAUGAAUUGACGGGGGCCCGCACAAGCGGUGGAGCAUGUGGUUUAAUUCGAUGCAACGCGAAGAACCUUACCUGGUCUUGACAUCCACAGAACUUUCCAGAGAUGGAUUGGUGCCUUCGGGAACUGUGAGACAGGUGCUGCAUGGCUGUCGUCAGCUCGUGUUGUGAAAUGUUGGGUUAAGUCCCGCAACGAGCGCAACCCUUAUCCUUUGUUGCCAGCGGUCCGGCCGGGAACUCAAAGGAGACUGCCAGUGAUAAACUGGAGGAAGGUGGGGAUGACGUCAAGUCAUCAUGGCCCUUACGACCAGGGCUACACACGUGCUACAAUGGCAUAUACAAAGAGAAGCGACCUCGCGAGAGCAAGCGGACCUCAUAAAGUAUGUCGUAGUCCGGAUUGGAGUCUGCAACUCGACUCCAUGAAGUCGGAAUCGCUAGUAAUCGUAGAUCAGAAUGCUACGGUGAAUACGUUCCCGGGCCUUGUACACACCGCCCGUCACACCAUGGGAGUGGGUUGCAAAAGAAGUAGGUAGCU